rfam:Triticum aestivum genome assembly, contig: Triticum_aestivum_CS42_TGACv1_scaffold_405964_5BL
UUCAUACUCCCUCCGUCCCAAAAUUCUUGUCUUAAAUUUGUCUAGAUAUGGAUGUAUCUAAUACUAAAAUGUGACUUGAUACAUCCGUAUUUAGACAAAUCUAAGACAAGAAUUUUGGGACAGAGAGAGUAUCAU